AUGGUGUUGCCCCUCGCUCUUUUUUUUAGAUUCCCCUUCCGAAUGCUCUCUUGAUCUAGCAUGCGAGAAAAUUUCAUAGACACUAUGUCGCCAUAGACUCUCCGAUAUUUUUUUCUAGAUAGUCAGCUCUUGCAGUCCAUGGAAUGUAUUAUGAAAGGUAAAUAUCUGUUUGCAUAAAUAUUAUAAAUCACAUUUUAUUUUCUAAAACCAGCAGCAUGCCGUGUGGCCAUGAGAAAGGUGAUAACUGCUUUCAGUUCUUCAUGGUUACAUCUUCAGUCUUAUUUUGGUUGGCACUCUUUAUUUGGCUAGAAAUACCAGGAAUUCGGGUUGUUAAUUUGCAGAAGAAUACAAGAAUUCUGAAUGGCAAACACUUGUAAUGUAUACUAUUUGUGUUGGUAUCUUUGUGUAGUAAGAUGUUACAUAUAGUUCAUACUAGAAAUAUAUCUAAUGCAUUUGAGGCUUUUGCUUUACAUGGUCCAAAUCAAUGCUUUUAUUCAAAUAUUUCAUGUUCAUUCUCAUGAACUUGAUGUCAUUUUUUUUGAAGAGUUCAUGAACUUGAUGUCGACAGGUUGGUUUUAAAUUACUGGUGCAUAACAUCUUUAGCUCUGUAAAUGGUCUCACUCAUAAUGUCCAACCAAUCAUAUUCUACAUGUUGUCAUGUUGUAAUCUUCUUGCUUGUCAUGUUUGUUGUAUAUUAUCCACAUAUUACCAUCGAUUAUAUGAAUAUCACCAAAGGUAAUGCUGUAACUGCUACUAAAUAAUUUUAAUUUUGGCUUCUCUGAAUUUCUAGGCAAUUGGUGUGUUCUACAUUUUUUUUACAGGCUGAUGUGUGCUACGAUGAGUGUCUAUAUCUCCCUCAACACCAGGUAAUGUUUGCUUUAUUCUUUCAGUCUGAAUUCUUGCAGAUUAAAUCAAAGCAUUAUCUUUUUCUGCUUUGCUCUAAAGUAUAUUUCCUGAAUGAAUAUGUUUAAUUGAUUUUGUAUAAGUAGUUUUCUUCGAAGUAUUCAAGUGUUAAGUGACAUAAUUAUUUUCAGUUUCUUCGAGGGAGGACCUUCUGUAACCAGUGCUGCUCCCUUGCUUGCUGUAAUUUUGUGAAACAGAUUUGUUAUUGCCCCAUGGUGGUGGUAUUUUCUUGCAUGUGUUGCAAUCAGUCGCAGGAGUCCCCAUCAUUACAAGCUGCAUUCUAUGAACCUGAACCUUAAUAUUGAAUGAUCCAAAUGUUGGAGGAUUCAAUCCCGUUUUAGGCAAACUGAAACUCCUUCUAGGUGGACAUAAUGAAAAUUAGAACAAGUUCUAAUAUUUGAGUCUAUACUAAAUUGUUCAGUUAGCGCUACCAGAAAAAGAUAUUGAACCUUACAACAUAUAUCUGUUUGCACUAGGUAUCCCUGUAAACAUUGAACAAAGUCACUGGUACUUAGCAGUCAUAAAUGCCAAGAAACGUGUUAUUAAUUCAUUGGGAUUAGUGCAUCGUGAUGAACUAAUAAUAUAUGCUGUUCAUGGGCUGCAGAGAUAGAUUGAUAUAACAAGCCAUUCGUUGGUGGUUAUUAGAAGCAUCCCAAAAGCGUCCCAUCACCAAUUUGGGAAAAUCAUACAAAUAUGAAAGGGUAGUUUAUCCUUACCAACUGGAUCUUGUUGCACCCGGUAACAAACAUGCAUAAACCAUUUCUCGAAAUAUGUAAUUAUGAGUUACAUAGGUUAUAAAGAUUGCAGGGUUCAAGUGGCCUAACCUAAAGGUUAAGUCAUGGCCUAUUGGUGUACAUAGAAGUUGAGGGAGAAGUAUGGAUGGAUCUCUCCCACAUAUUGUCAUGUCUUGCAUGGUGGUGUUGCACCAAUUAGGCAAUGUUUUAAAUUCUUGUAUCAAUAAGGAAAAAGUCUAAAUUACUCCCCUCAACUAUAGCCAAAGUCUGGAUAACCCCCUAAACUAUUGUUAGUUUGGUUCAUUUUACCCCCAAACUAUACCAUUUAGUUCAAAUUACCCCCUAAUGUAAUUUGUCUUUUUCAUUUCUCCAUGCAUAGGUGGAGUUUUAAGUUGAAAAUUUACAACAUAAUAGUACACACCAUAACACAUAUUAGAAAAAUAAAUCAUAUUUUUUAUCAUUAUUUUGAUAGGUUAGGAUAUUUAAUAAUAAAUUAAUUAUUGGAGUUCAAAUUUGUAUGAAAACUAAUGGGGAAAAAUUAUAAAACUUUUUCUAAAUAUGCUUUGUUAUGUUCACUAAUACCCUACAAAAUUUGAAAUUAAAAUUCGACUUGUGUAUGGAGAAAUAAAAAAUAUAAAUUGUGUUAUGGGGUAAAAUAAACUAAAUGACAUAGUUUAGGAGUAAAUUGAACCAAGUUAUAGUUUAAGGGGUUAUCCAGAUUUGGCUAUAGUUGAGGGGAGUAAAUUGAACUUUUUCCUAUCAAUAAUGGAUUAAGACAAGUUCUUAUGGUGGAUCCAAUAUGAUGUUCGCGCAACUAUUGUUACAGUUA